GCUUCAGUGGGCAGUACAUACCAGUAAUAGAGACAACCAUGUCACAGAGAUUAUACUUAGCAUCCACAAAAGUUUCAAGGGACAGUACUUGCCAGUCACAAAGACACUAAUGUCACAGAGAUUAUACUUUGAAUCCUCAAAAGUUUUAGAGGACAGUAUUCACCAAUGAAGGAGACAAUCAUGUCACAGAGGUUAUACUUAGCAUCCACAAAAGUUUCAAGGGACAGUACUUGCCAGUCACAAAGACACUAAUGUCACAGAGAUUAUACUUUGCAUCUUCAAAAUUGGAGUUUAAGCACCUAGGUUAAA